UACGGGGGGGGCAAGCGUUGUUCGGAAUUACUGGGCGUAAAGGGUUCGUAGGUGGCCAACUAAGUCAGACGUGAAAUCCCUCAGCUUAACUGGGGAACUGCGUCUGAGACUGGAUGGCUUGAGUGCAGGAGAGGAACGCGGAAUUCCAGGUGUAGCGGUGAAAUGCGUAGAUAUCUGGAGGAACACCGGUGGCGAAGGCGGCGUUCUGGACUGCUACUGACACUGAGGAGCGAAAGCGUGGGGAGCGAACAGG
rnacentral:rRNA from 1 species